UGAGGAAUAUUGGUCAAUGGGGGCAACCCUGAACCAGCCAAGUCGCGUGAAGGAUGAAGGUCUUAUGGAUUGUAAACUUCUUUUACACGGGAAUAAAGUGGGGGACGUGUCCCCCUUUGCAUGUACCGUGUGAAUAAGGAUCGGCUAACUCCGUGCCAGCAGCCGCGGUAAUACGGAGGACCCGAGCGUUAUCCGGAUUUAUUGGGUUUAAAGGGUGCGCAGGCGGGAUGUUAAGUCGGCGGUGAAAUUUUGCAGCUCAACUGUAAAAGUGCCUUCGAUACUGGCCUCCUUGAGUGUGGAUGAAGUAGGCGGAAUUUGUGGUGUAGCGGUGAAAUGCUUAGAUAUCACGAGGAACUCCGAUUGCGCAGGCAGCUUACUAAGCCACAACUGACGCUCAUGCACGAAGGCGUGGGGAUCAAACA
rnacentral:rRNA from 1 species